GGGGGUGUAGCUUAGUCUGGCUUAAAGCAAUCGCCUGUCGAGCGAAAGAUCGUGGGUACCGCUGCGCGGAAGCUAAGCUACAAAUCCCAUCAUCCCCG
rnacentral:tRNA from 1 species